rnacentral:rRNA from 1 species
UAGGGAAUCUUCGGCAAUGGACGAAAGUCUGACCGAGCAACGCCGCGUGAGUGAAGAUGGUUUUCGGAUCGUAAAACUCUGUUGUUAGAGAAGAACAAGGACGUUAGUAACUGAACGUCCCCUGACGGUAUCUAACCAGAAAGCCACGGCUAACUACGUGCCAGCAGCCGCGGUAAUACGUAGGUGGCAAGCGUUGUCCGGAUUUAUUGGGCGUAAAGCGAGCGCAGGCGGUUUCUUAAGUCUGAUGUGAAAGCCCCCGGCUCAACCGGGGAGGGUCAUUGGAAACUGGGAGACUUGAGUGCAGAAGAGGAGAGUGGAAUUCCAUGUGUAGCGGUGAAAUGCGUAGAUAUAUGGAGGAACACCAGUGGCGAAGGCGGCUCUCUGGUCUGUAACUGACGCUGAGGCUCGAAAGCGUGGGGAGCAAACAGG